rnacentral:rRNA from 1 species
CAGCAGCCGCGGUAAUACGGAGGGGGCUAGCGUUGUUCGGAAUUACUGGGCGUAAAGCGCGCGUAGGCGGUUACUCAAGUCAGAGGUGAAAGCCCGGGGCUCAACCCCGGAACUGCCUUUGAAACUAGGUGACUAGAAUCUUGGAGAGGUCAGUGGAAUUCCGAGUGUAGAGGUGAAAUUCGUAGAUAUUCGGAAGAACACCAGUGGCGAAGGCGACUGACUGGACAAGUAUUGACGCUGAGGUGCGAAAGCGUGGGGAGCAAACAGGAUUAGAUACCCGUGUAGUCCCUGUCUCUUAUAC